ACAUUCUCACCGAUUGUUUCUUCAGUGGCCAUAACUUUGACGUUCCAUCGUCGGUGAUCAAUUAUAAGUGAAAUUGAGGUUCUUGAGGGUUAUGUGGUAGUCGGAAUACAACCAAAAGCCGCAAGAGCGGCGUCCGGUUGAAUUAAAAAAGAAAAGGUUAGUGGAACUAAAUCGCACUGAAUUAAUGUGGUAUUUUGUCGAAAAGUAACUCAAAUUGCGACAUUGUGCUCUUGCUAUGGCUUCAAUUGAAGACCAUUUAGGUUUAUGGUUGUUAUCGUGAAUCAAAUUUUGUUGUUUAUAUGGAUUGAAUUGAAUACCGAUUGUGUUUCUUUAAAUUCUUGUUUGUGCUCUUGCUAUGGCUUUAUGUUGAUGGAGAUUAUUCUGAAACAAAAUAUGUUGUGAAUUAAAUAGCUUAGAUUUUGCGAAUUAUAUAGCUUAGCUUUUGCGAAUCAAAUAGGUUAAAUUGAAGACAUACUGUGUUAAUGUAACUUGUUGUGAAUCUAAUUUCGUCGAUAAGUAGCAGAAACUGUUUGUGUUCUGGCGAUGGGUAGUAGUGAACAUCAUCUGUGUUCUGAAACUUAUUGUGAAUCCAAUUUUGUUGAAAACCAAACAAUUAACGUUAAUGAAAUGUUAUGAAUUGGAAUUUGAGUUUGCGAUUCGAUUUGCAGCAUUAGAACAAUUUCUGUAUUUUUUUUUUGGUGUUAUGGUUGUUUGUUCUCAAAAUUUUCAAUGUGUAUUAAUUAAAUUGGUUGACUAUUAGUUUGAUUCUAGUAGUUUGAUUGUAUUAGACGCAACGGAUAAUAAAAUUUUACUCCAAAUGAUGCAAGAUAGCAAACACGUAUUCCGGGCAAUGUUCAAGAUAAGUUCUAAAUCACACCAAGAUACUCUCUGCCUGUCAAACUUUCGUUUAUGAUGUUUUGAAAUCUACCAGUAGGAUGAUAGUUUGACUGUUGGUGGGAAAUUAAAAGCUUAAGGUGAAGUUUUAAAGGAGUUUUUUAAGGCAAGGUCUAAGGUAAAGUACAAUGUGUGUUGUUUUUCAAGUUCAAGUAAAUGUUAUGAUGUUGUUAUUUUUUCCAUUUAACGUAUUGUACCCAAAUUCAAUAGCCACCAAACAUUAACUAUCGAGUGGAGAGUUUUGCCAGAAUCUAUCAUACCUUUGAAUCACGUAGGAGACGGUGGGUUGCCGAAAUGGGAUUUGGAGGGCUAUUGUAUUUAUCUGGUGACAUGCAUCUUCCAAGGCAGCUGGGGUACUGGUUAGUGACCCGAAUGGAUCCGAUUAGUAAGAUGUUACAACCCCGGAUGGAAGGUGUUUAAGGUUGUCUAAAAAUCAAGUUCAUUGGGUUCUUGGCAUCCCUAAUGGACUAAAGAUACUUCCAUCAUGCAAAACAUUAAAGAGGGUACAACGGGAGAAGGUUAAAAACAUAAUUGCAAAAUACGGGACAACACGGAAUAAUGGACAACCAAACGUCUACGAUAAAGUAGGAAUUCCAGUCUACCCCGAGUUAUUGGAGAAGCUUGAGUGUUAUUGGGAAGAGAACGAGGAGGAAGAGUUCAAGAUGCUCUUCUUAUUGUUUGCUUUCGAAAUGUUGUUUUGUCCUACUUUGUCCACUAGAUUGUCUUCUGACUUGGUACCUGCUUUGACAUGUGCUAUGGAAGCCGUUGAAUAUGAUUGGUGCACUCUGGUGCUAUCCAAGCUGCUUUCUAGUGUCCGGUCCUUUGCUCGUAGAUUUUAUUCUUAUGGGCAUGCUGGUGGAUGUGGUGGCUGCAUUUUAUUUGUCGUGAUUUUUUACUUGGACCGGCUUGAUAGGGGAGGCUGUACAAUGGGGUGUUUUCCCUAGGUUGAAGGUCUGGACCAUGAAGGAGAUAAUGAUUGCUAGCAAGGAGACAGAUCACCCAAUGGAGGUGAUUAUGGAUGCAAAGGGACCCUGGAUGUUGCUUAUGGUGAGAUUCAUCCAAGGCAGGCUAGAGCUACGGAUGGACCUGGUCCUGUAACUAAGGUUGUUAUUGAACAUGAUAUUGAUUUCACAGCGACUCCUAGACGUCGUAGAGGAGCGUCAUCAUCAAAGAUCCCUCGCGAGGAAGCUGAAAACACAUACGGAAUAGAAAGUGCAAGUGUUGUUGCUGUUAUUUCUGAAGAACCGAAUCAAACACAAGGCAAAAUAUCAGUUGUGUCCGAUGCUUUAUCGCAUGUUGGUUAUGUAGAUGAUUGGUGAAGGUUUCUACCUACAAGAGCUCUCUCCCUGCUAAGAAAGAUGAUUUUGGGGAUAAUGAGAGCUUCUAACUAUUUCAUGAUGGGUGAUUGGCCAUUAAUUUUAUCUUCUGCAUUUCUUCAGGUAGUAUCGUUUGAUGGACUAUCAGAUUACAAUACCGUGAUUCUCCCUUCAUUGUCUACAUUCAUUGGAAAUCCCAGAUGUUCUGUUCUAUUGGUUGUCUCAGAGGUUAUUCUACAAGACCGUUGAAGAACCUUAAGUUUUGAUCUUGCUUUGUACCGGAUUUGUAUUGCGUUAAAGACAAACUCCCGAUAUGAAAUGAUGUUGUAAUCUGCUUACUCCAUAACAUGAGAUAUCAGUUCUAUCGUAGACCUAUGUUGAACAUACAACAAGUUUAUCACGAUAUAUUUGUUUCCUGCAUGAAAAAGGCCUCACUACUUCCAAGCUGUCAAGGAACAUGUUGUUGGUACAAAGGAGUCGUGCGUAAAACAACUGCAAAACGCCCCCUAACUUAUUUGAGCCCCCUUGUUUAUGCUAAUUUAGGUAAUUCUAUAAAUAUUUUAUACUAGGCAACGUAUGACAACUUGUAUUAUUAUUUCCUUUUUUUUAUUAGAGUUGUAUUAUUAUUUCUCUACUGUAGUUUAUAAUUGAGGCAUGAGUUUUACUCACCCACACACACCAUGUAUUUCUCUACUUUAAGUGUGAUUUGUUUCACUUAUGAAUAUGUCGUACCGGCCCUUGAAUAUGAA